UGUAUUGAAAUUCUGAUCAGAGGAUCGAGGGUAAGAACAUUGCAAAUGAAAACAUGAUAAUUGAGACAUGUGGACAGUGGAAUAUGCUUGCUUGCCAUUGUGCUCAUUCGCACACGCUUGUGAGGGUCGCUCCCUACAAGCCGGCACUCCGGAGUUGGCCUACGCGACAGUUGCUCGCCCGUGCGGGAUUGGGUGCCGAAGUGGAUUGCCGUGGGGAGUGUAUACUACCACGGGGCCAUUAGGCACGGCGCAAGCGGGACUACCUUGGGUAGGUCCUUAU
rnacentral:lncRNA from 1 species